rnacentral:rRNA from 1 species
GACGAACGCUGGCGGCGUUCUUAACACAUGCAAGUCGAACGGUGAAGCGCCUUCCUUUUUGGUGGGUGUGGAUGAGUGGCGAACGGGUGAGUAACACGUGAGUAACCUGCCCCCUUCUUCUGGAUAACCGCAUGAAAGUGUGGCUAAUACGGGAUAUUCUGGGUCUGUCGCAUGAUGGGUCUGGGAAAGAUAUUGUUUCGGUGGGGGAUGGGCUCGCGGCCUAUCAGCUUGUUGGUGGGGUGAUGGCCUACCAAGGCGGUGACGGGUAGCCGGCCUGAGGGGGUGGACGGUCACACUGGGACUGAGACACGGCCCAGACUCCGACGGGAGGCAGCAGUGGGGAAUAUUGCACAAUGGGCGCAAGCCUGAUGCAGCGACGCCGCGUGAGGGAUGGAGGCCUUCGGGUUGUGAACCUCUUUCGCCAGUGAAGCAGGCCUGCCUCGUUUGUGGGUGGGUUGACGGUAGCUGGAUAAGAAGCGCCGGCUAACUACGUG